rnacentral:rRNA from 1 species
AUUUGCAAGUCGAGGACAGAUCGGAGCGUUCUUCUUCACGUUAGCGUGUUGACGCUGAUAACACGUGACGCACGCUACCCUAUAAGUGUGCGAUAACUCCUUGACCACCGGGGUGUAUAUACCCAAUAAUACUUUUUACUUCAUGUCAUGGACUGAAAGACGUUACAAUUCGAUCUUUAGAACGGGCUCUAUCGGAUUAUACUCCCUCUCGGGAGAACCACUUCCAAUAGUGCCCAUUGGACACCGCUUAGACGGGGAUAUACAGCUUGAGAUUUAACCGUCCAAUUCUGAGGAUGUAACCGGGAAUCUUCCAAGGGCCAAUGCUGAUGGAACUUACAUCAGAGGUUAGAAUGGUUUCGGGACUUAAACCUUCAUUUACGGACGAACUGGCCACUACCAUACUCCUUCUGCCUCCGGCCUUAUUGGGAAACUUGUCUAUCAGUGGCAACCGGGAUGGAAAAACCUGGGAGGAAUUCGGGCCGUAAUAAUUUAGCCACAUGCUCCCCCUUGGGCCUUUACCCCUUAAAUUCAUUGCCCGGUAAUCCACCGGGUUUUUCAAAACUGGGGGGUUUGGGAAUGGAUUAGGGGGCAAAACCCAAAUAGCAUAUUUUU